UAGUGUAGUAGACUAGUCCACAUUUAUACUUCAUUAUUAAUUCAUCACUUUGAAGCACUUCUUACUUGUGAUGUAUUUUUAGAACUGUUCCCAGCCAACUAGCUUCCUACCUUCCCAGAGGGCCCCGAUUACCUCCUGGGGCCGCAAUCCACCGACCCCCUCCAGCCCUGAGACCAGUGAGACCUCUGGACCCACCAGCUCCACCUCUACAUCAUUGGUCAUCAAGAACGAGAGCUUCAGGAAGGAAAGCUUUGUGAGUUUCUCUUUAAAACCAGCAUCAGGAAACCAAGUGGUCCAGCUGACUGG
rnacentral:lncRNA from 1 species